rnacentral:lncRNA from 1 species
UUUGGCCUUCCUCUUGUUUUUGAUUUUUUUUCUUGUAUUUCUCUGACCACACUAGUUUCCAGUUUGGGGUCACGCUCCUCCAAACGGCAAUAGGGAAUUGGAGUUUCUUGGGCCUCUGUCCAGUAGUCUUUUUCUGCUCACCUCCUGAACAAGCCCUAACAUUCUCGAAUCUUCCAUUACUAUGUGUAUCUCCAGCCUAAAGCUAUGUCCAAGUUCACAACGUCUAGAUUUAACUGCCCAUUUAGCCUUCCCAUUUGGAUUUCUUACAGCACCCAGAACUCUACUUUCCCAGGGAAGAAUCCCUGAUCCUCCUCUGUUUCUCGUGGGCAUUCCUGAGAACAUGUGUUCAUCCUUGACCCCCACUGUCUCUUUAUCAAAUUGCACAUCCAGUCACCCAGUCCCGCUAAUUCUACAUCUAAAAGUCCCCAUGGUUCCAUCUCCUCCCUUCCUUCUCUGGUGGCACCACCUUGGUAUAUGUCUCCAUCAUCUUUUGUCUGGAAUAAUACAAUCAAUACACAAUAGUCUUAUAAUUGGUCUCCUACAUCUAAUAUUGCCUCUCUCCUGUCACCUUUGAUCCAUUAUCCUCCUAGUAGUAGAAUCUCUUGAAAACCUAAUUAUGAGUUACAAAGUUCCUCAACUAGGUCCCUUUAUUAAUUUUCUAUUGUCCUUAGGAUAAAUCCCAAACUUCUUAAUAUUCUUUUAAGACCUAGCAAGAAUUAGCCUAGACUUACUUCUUGUUCCUCUCAUAUCAUAGUCUUCUUUUUGGCCCAAUUAAGCUUUCUAGAGACCCUUGAACACACAAAGCCCUUUUCCUUGAGUCAUCACACAGUUGCUCCGCCUACCAGGCUUCUGCUCUUUUUGGCACCAACACACUCUUCCUUCCUCAGAUUAACAGUCUCCUCCUCAGGGAAGUUCUUCUUCACCAUCACUACUCCCCAGGCAUUAUGUUCCCCUGGAUCAUAGCCUGGGCAUAUAAUCAGGGCUCAAAAAUAUUUGUUCACUGACUUUUUAACUCUUUCCCAUUCAUGAAAGCUCCUCAAACUUGAUGUGAUUCGGAAGCAGUAGAGGACUAUUCACCUUAGCAUUUGUCCACAGUCAGUUUUAUUAAAAAGAGACAUGAGGAGUUCCCAUUGUGGCCCAGCAGUAUUGAACCCAACUAGGUUCCAUGAGGAUGUGGGUUCGAUCCCAGGCCCCACUCAGUGGAUUAAGGAUCUGGCAUUGCUGUGAGCUAUGGUGUAGGUUGCAUGUGUGGCUCAGAUCCUGUGUUGCUGUGUAUGUGGUGUAGGCUAGGGCCUACAGCUUAAAUUUGACCCCUAGCCAGGGAGCCCUAAAAAGAAAAAAAAAAGAAAAA